GUGUCAGCAGCCGCGGUAAUACGUAGGUGGCAAGCGUUGUCCGGAAUUAUUGGGCGUAAAGCGCGCGCAGGCGGCCUUUUAAGUCUGAUGUGAAAGCCCCCGGCUCAACCGGGGAGGGUCAUUGGAAACUGGAAGGCUUGAGUACAGAAGAGAAGAGUGGAAUUCCAUGUGUAGCGGUGAAAUGCGUAGAGAUGUGGAGGAACACCAGUGGCGAAGGCGACUCUUUGGUCUGUAACUGACGCUGAGGCGCGAAAGCGUGGGGAGCAAACAGGAUUAGAAACCCUCGUAGUCC
rnacentral:rRNA from 1 species